UACGUAGGGUGCAAGCGUUGUCCGGAAUCACUGGGCGUAAAGCGCGUGUAGGCGGGGCCGCAAGUCUGCUGUGAAAACUCCUGGCUUAACCGGGAGAGGUCGGUGGAAACUGCGAACCUGGAGGACGGUAGAGGCUGGUGGAAUUCCCGGUGUAGUGGUGAAAUGCGUAGAGAUCGGGAGGAACACCUGUGGCGAAGGCGGCCAGCUGGGCCGGACCUGACGCUGAGACGCGAAGGCGUGGGGAGCGAACGGG
rnacentral:rRNA from 1 species